GGUACAUUGUUGUUCCAUUUGAUUUCUAAGGCAUAGUUUUAUUUCUAAGUGCAGACUAGGCAAGGUGAGAGGUAGGUUAAACACGAUGAUGAGUGGAUGGCGGCUGGGAGAUGUUUCGGUUCACAGCUGAGUCUGUGACUUGGCUUUGUACCAAGCUAAUAGCACACUGGGCUUGAGCUCAAAUUUUACAGUUCCUGCCUGCUUUGGUCCCGGCAUGCUAGUACAUGCCGGCUAGCAUGUGCACAGCCUUUUACAUUGCAUAACUCCUUCUUGUGCCCCUGGCUGAAAGAAGCUAAAAUGCAGAUAAUUUAUUCAGCAUAAAUUAUUGCUAGCCUUAGCUGAAAUAGCAUAUACUUUUGAUCUUCUUUAGAUAUGGAAUCAAUGGGGAAUUGUUUGGCUACAAAGUUUUUCCCUACAUCUUUCAGUUAAAUCAAAUUCCAAAUCUUGAGGACAUCUGAUAUUCCUCAAGGACAUUAAAUCUAUAAAACCAGUGCCUCCUGAAUCACAUGCUCAAAAAUAGAAUCCAUAGUUUGUUUAGUGUGAGCUAUCAGUAACAUUUUAAACAUUUAAUUACAUUUUCAUUUAAUAAUUCAUUCUUGUAUAAUUAGAAGGUUAAGUUAUGCAACAUGUUUAUGUUUUAAAAUGUAGACAUUUUUCUGGGCUGGAGAUUUAGCUCAGCAGUUCCACCGCCUACCUCACAAGCCUAAAGUCCCAAGUUCCAUCCUCAGUACCAAAAAACAAAAAAAAUGUAGACAUUUUUCUUAAGUGUCUACACCAUUCUCUCUGGGAUUAAUCAUAACAACAUAUGCAUAGUAUUAAAAUUUUAAUGCUGUAGAUAUACAGGUUUUGUUACGUGUCCUGGCCCACCCCAUAGGCAGCCUUGGUGAGAUAUGCUUUGAGUGGUAAUAAAAACUAAGGACCAGAGAUUAUACACUUUUCAUAAGGCUUUUGAAGGUCAAUUAUUCCACCUUACUUGCUUCUAACUGCCCUCUGAGUAGACACACUUUACCCAACUCUAUGUCUGCUCAGGUCAUCAAGCAACCUGAUCAAGAGAUUUCGCACAAACCAGUUGAAGUGUGUGUGUUUUCCUACCAGACACCAUGCUCCCUGCUCGUCCAUUCAGACUGAACAUCUCACUCACCUGGAUGGAAGCCUGGGGGGCCUCAACCUGGCCAGCAGUCAGACUGCUGAACUGAUGAAGGUUGAUCCUAAUCAGCCUCGGUAUGACGGGUCAUCUGAGACACUCAGGGCGACAUGGGUGGCAGCACCAUGAAAAUUCCUCAGGAAACAGAAGCAUUUGAAAAUGAGACUUAAUGAAAAGCUUAUGGUUGCUUACAUGUGAAAUGAAAAUGUUUUAGGGCUGAGCAUGCCAGUGACCUAUUUUGUAAUCCUGAGCUUACAUCCAUGGCCCUCUCAGGAAUUGUGAAUAAGAUGUGUGGAACUGGAGACUGAAAACAUGAAACAAUUCAGAAAUAAUGUAAGGUUUCUGAUAAAUUAUAACAUAAUUUGGUGUUUCUUUGAAAAUGAAAGUGGAUAAAAGUUUUCCUUGUACUACAUUGUGAUUUGAAAGUCAUUUGGAGAAAAAACCAAAUCAAGGAUUCUAGCUUUUGUGCCUGAUUAUUAGACCCUCAUUAAAAACCCUGGGAAGCAGGUAGAAGGCAGGUAUUUGCUUCUAAGAUGUAGAGAUAUGAGCAAGCAGAGGUGGGGAUCCAGGGACCUGGCAAUGUUGCUCAGGUUCUGAGUUCUGCAGUUGUUCUUACUACCCUAACUGGACUGUAUUUGUGGUUGAAGUAUUCCUAGAAUUCUUGGAAAAUAAAGAUCCAACAGUCCCAGUGUGUGACUUCUACAUAUUCAUACUGAGUUGUACCAUAAGCUAAAAAUCUAUUAGCAUAAAUAUUUUCAACUAAAUCCUGAGGAACAUUUUGGCAUAGAUACAAGUCUUUUAGGUACAAGGAAGAGAUAAGAGACAAUAUAAGUCUAUUUCCAGCAGAGUCAUAUUGAGAAACUCCAAGUGGAACAAGGCCUGUAAUUCUCAACUUCAUAUCUGGAAAAUGGCCUCAGUUCUUAACCAACUUUUCUGUUAAAAUACACGUCUCUAUGUGUGAAUUUGUUCUGUAUUAAAUACAUAGGGAAUAAAAUCAUCAAAAUGCAAAUCAUCUUCACUCAAAGGAGAUUCUCUCCCCUCUGGUACUUUGCAUGGAGUCAUUUUUAUUUUGAGACAGGCUGUGGUCAAACUUGCAGUCCUCCUGUUUCAGCCUCCUGGAGUGCUGAGAUUACAAGUAUGUGCUACUGCAGUUAGUGGAUUUUUUUUCACCAAUAACUAAGCUUUGCACUACCAGGAAACAGUGGGUGAGGGUGAAAACCACUCAGGUGGCUGUGGUAACACACAGAGGCCACAACACUGGUGACAUAAACUUCAUCCUCUCUCUCACAUCCCAGUUUGCUCUCAUUGAUUUCUCUGAGAAUAUAGACCAUGCUGUUCUCUUGAGUUUGUGUAUUUUAGUGGAUAAAAUGAUUGAAUAUAGCAAUUGAAACAUCAGUGUUCUGUUUAUAAAAAUCCAGUGGUGAGCACAAAAGGGAAGUUUUUAAUAUUGAGGAGGAGCUAAAAAUGAAGGUAGGUUCUAAAAGAGAUGACAGUGAGAAAGUAGGUAAUGAGUCUAAGGGAAUGCUCAUUAGAGACAAUGCUAGGAAAGAGAGAAAGAGACAGAGAGAGGAAGAGAGAAAUGAAGUUGAGUUGAGCCCAUCUGGUGACUGGCAUGAAACUGUGGCUAUGAUUUAUACUGUAAGAUGCAAACCACCUUUCUGCUUUACCUUUUGUCAGUGCUCCUAGUUAGGCUCUGUCAGUGGAGGUACUAGAGGAAGACUAGAAGCCCAGAGAAGUAUCAGUUAUCUUGUUUCCAGUCUUUUCCUGCCCUUCUGGAACCUGACUCCAUUUACCAGCUUGGAGGGGACUUAUAGCCACUGGUGUAUUCCCUGACAAGAGAUCUGAGAUCCGGCCUAAUGAGAUCCCUCCUCUCAGUGCCUGAGAUGUUACCACCAGCCAGACAGAAUACUCCCACAGGAUGGCAAACUGUCCAAGUCUUCUUGGGACCUUCCUGGUUCAAACAUAGAAAGCCCGUGUCAUAGGGAAACCAGGAAUCGUGGUCAUAAUAACUCCUCUCAGAGGUUUGUACCACAGCUGUGUGAUGCUUCCUUUUUUGAAUUCUACUUCAUUCCUUUUUCCUAGCCCUCAGAGAUGCAGAUGCUUCCUGGAGAUGCCUGAGUGUUUCUCUUUUGUAUUAAUCUUUAUCUUAUUGUUGAGACAAAAUACCUGACACCUGCAGCUUAAAGGAGGACAGGUUUAUUUUGGCUCAUGAUUUCAGAGGGUUCAGUUGAUGGUUGGUUGGCUCCAAGGCAGAAAUAGCAUGGCAGGAGUGUGUGGUGGAGCAAAGUUGCCCAGUAUAUGGCAGCUAGGAAGCAGAGAGAAAAGAGAAGAGCUGGGGAAAAGCAUACCCUCUAUGAACCACCUCCAACUAGACCCCUCCUGUUAAGAGCACACUAAGCCAUAAACUCAUCAAUGGAUAGAGUGCCCUCAUGAUCCAAUCACAUUUCAAAGCCCCACCUCUGAAUACAAGAGACUUUGAGGGGACAUUUUAGAUCAAAACCAUAAUAUUCUUCAUCUUCUCAGUUAUUCAUUACCUAUUUAACUGAUCCCCCAUAUUAAAUUAAAACAACUUCCAUGUCAAUUAUCAUCUACUUUAAGUUGGUUUUACAAACUCCACACUGGAUUGAAGAUGAUGACUUAAUGUGAAAUACAGCAGGCUAGCAGCUUGGUAUAUGUGCUGCCGAAAUAAGCACCAGGCUAGCACCUUGGAUCAUGAGGAGAUGGCAUGGCAAAAAGUCCACAAAAGAUGGAUGUCUAUUUUAAGUCAAUGUAGAAGAAAUAAAUAAGAGACAGUGAGCAAUAGCUAUCCACUUCUGCUGUCACAACAUUGCAUCCUAAGAAUCAUGAUGUCCUUUCUUCUACUUUAUCUUCAGAAUUCAAGAGCCAUACUAUUUUAUAUACCUAAUUUCACUAACAGAAUUCUUGCUGUUUGUCAAGGUAAUGUGCCAAAAUACAGUAUACUUUAUUUUAAAAAUUAAAAAUGUAAGAUUUUAAAAGUAUGGUUAUUUUUUAGUUUUUUCCAUUUUUUUUUUAGUUCAUUACUUAAGAAACAGAAAAGGUGUUGAGUGUCUGUCCCAGUUCCAUUUUCCCAUGACCCAGUGUUUUAGUUUGGAUUUUCCAGCCCAAACUAAGGUCCUGAAAUAUGAAUUCUAGUGAAAGUGGUUUAGAGCUACUCCUGGGAAGCAUUAAUUCUCCAGUAUCUCUGUCCUCCAUGUUGACAGGUAAGGUGGCCUUCAGAGGACAGAAAACCCCAUGGCAGGAAUACAGGGCUAGGUGGGAGGUCUGGCUCACAUGCGAUAGAGCAAUGAGGGAAAAGGGAUGUGUUGUCAUUGCUAUACUUUGUUAUAUAGUAUCUGCUAUAUUUUAUCCCUUAAAAUUCUUUAUCAUGGAGAGUUUCAGGAACAGAAAUACAUCUCUGUCAGCUCAUGAUCUGUUCCUAAGGCUUUGGAACUAUAAUUCUUGUGUUGAGGAGUUCAUUCAUGGUAGAUACUAGGCUAUUCUGGGAUGCAUUUAAAAUUAGGGGCAAUAUUGAAAAUGGAACCCUGGGUUUCCAAAUAUAUCUUAUGAAAUUUUCAAGUAAUAUGAAACAAUUGAUAUUUUUAAAGGAGCAUGAGAGUUCUAAGAAAUAAGAAAUAUACUAACUGUCUCUGCAGAAGGAAAAAUUCAGGAGGGAGAGGAAAGGGGAGAAAAUGUAGCUACUGGUUAUGGGGAAGAAGUAAGUGUGGCAAGACAAAUACAAAUAGAAUAUCUCAAAAUAAAAGAUUUAAUAAAGUGGCUGGGCUGUAGCUCAGUGUGAAGGCCUUGGGUUCAAUCGCCAGUACCAAAAACAAAGUGUGGGCUGAGUGGAGGGGGAAGUAUAAUGAGUCAGAAAGACAAGGAAAGUGGAAGGUAGAUGACUGGCAUUUUCACUAAUAUUAAAUCAUGACUGAUUUACAUAAAUGAAAGAAACUCAAAGGGUAUUUUGUGAUCUAAUUUACGGGCAAGAAAGAGCUAGUGCCAGUGGGUUUGGGCAGACAUGAGCAGUGGGAAUGAGAAGGAGCCCUUUCAGAGUGAGACAAAAAUUUGCAGUAAGCUGAAAGCUGUGGAUUGCUUCCUCCCUACUCCCUCACCUGUAUUUCUACAGCAGAUUGUGUGGUCAAGGGCAACAUGAUGUAAAAUUCGUAUGACUCUGAAGUUGCAUUGUCAGUUUGGAUAGGUACCCAAAACAUUACCCACACAACCCAAUUUUUCUUGGGUGAAUUACUUAUAAAAAUAUGACUUUCAAUUGGAUCUAGCUAUUAUUUUCUUGUAGACUUCAUACAAGUGACACGGAGACACCUUUUAUUACUGUGUCUCUGGUUGGACUCCAGAAACGCCAGGAGAAGAUUUAUCUGUUCCCGAGGGAGCAUUUGGAACUAUCAAAAGUUGAUGACUUCUGUUGUGGUCUUUAGUGUGCCCUCAAUGAGCUCAUCUAUCUCUCAAGACCUUAUAAAUAAAAGUAGCUUAUCCUCUGACUUUGAUGCUGACCCUAGGAGAAACUGCUUGGGUGUGCCCCUUGGGUGAUGGGAACAUUCAUUGCCAACCAAUCAGUUUGGUGAUGAAUUUCUUGUAGUGGAGAGAAAAUAUUUUCUGUAUUUGUAGUCAUCUCCUAGACAGUGACUUGAGUUGCUUUUUAAAACUUAUUGACUAGAGACUGCAUGUGACAAAUUUCAGGUCUUUAGGUUCAAGUAGAUUUUAUUUAACUGUGUCUCCAGAUAAAAUUUAAAAUAGUUCUAGAUGAAAAUGAAAUGAAUUAAGGAGUUUUGAGAAUGUUGAUAAUGACUUAGGAUAUAGAACAUUGAGAAUUAAAAAAAGGACUACAAAAUGUUCUGACACUAUGCAUAUUUAUUUGAAGUGUGUUAUAAAUAAAAUGUAAUGACAUAAACUUGAGCUUCGAUUAGUAAUGAUCAGGAGCUGGAAUAAUUGUUCAUAGACUCAUUUGAACAUUACUAAUUCAGGACAUUCUAUUUGUACGGAAUUAUUUGUGUUUAUGAUUUUUCUGAGUUAAAAAAGAGUACCCUGAGGUCUUGCUCAGAGCAUGGGGAUUAAGCAUACAGAUCUCAUUAACAAUUUCAUGAAUUGUACAGUCUGCUUGAUUCCCAAAACACUUUACAGAAAGAGGUCUCUCUGCCAGUGUGCUGUAUACAACAACCACUUCCAGAUUGGAAAGCUUAGUGGAAUGACACAGUAUUGAGAAGCAAGCAGCCAUAUAGGAGGUCUGUCACUGAAAAUGUGGCUUUAGAACUAGACAUUUUCUCAGGACAGGGCUGAACAAGGAAGUUUGAACAGAUAAGACAUGACCAGGCAUGUGAUUAAACUUGGUAAUUUGAAUUUUCUUUAAGGGAAUUUUUUUACUACUAAUCUGGGUCUCAGAACUCUUGGACUCAGUGUGAAAAUAUGGUAGGCAUAGCAUGUCACAAAAAGAGCCCCCUUUGCCACAGAGGCAGUGUCACUGUGAAAAGAAUGGCCUUUGAUCUAGGCAGAUUUGGGUCUCUCAUUUACCAACUAAUUGACCUUAGGGGCUAUUGUUUAUCUUUUAAGGUUUGAUUUCUACCACUGAAAAGUGGGCACAAAAUUAUGACUUACUUCCUGGAUUAUGAUGAAGAAUCUAUAACAUAAAAAUUACCUAGUGCAUAGUCAGCACUCGAGAAAUUGUGACUUAAAAAAAAAAGCUCUUAGGCCCCAGAGAUCAAUCCAUUUUAGAAGCAAUUUCAUUAGAAUUUGCAGUUGUUGUAAACCAGUGGGCAGAUUGCCUGGAUUUGGGGUUGAAGGCAAUUUAAUUCCAGUGUCUCCAUUCUGCUUUGUCUAGCUUUGCAUUCAGGCCAUAAAAGGUAAGUUGGCAUCAGCAGCCAGCUGUUGCUACCUCCAUCUGAAUGCCAAUGUCCCUUCAUCUAUUGACAUAAGAAGAAAGUAAAUAAGAUAAUGUCCUCAGAAUUUUCUUUACACUAAACAUGUAAUUAGCCACUUACCCAUGAUGAGUAAAAUUUAAUUUCAGCUAAGUGAAAAGGAAUGCUGAUUAGAUUUAUUUUAUUAUCUGUUUACUUUCUGGGAAGAGGGCAGCUGGAUAAAAUCUCUUCUUGAGCUGUAUUUUUCACUUCCUGCAGUGCUUACCAAUGAAAUAUGCUAAAACUUGCAGGAACUGCACAUACAAAUGCAAAUAAUAAUUCUGUCGGCAUUUUCCUUCCUUUUAUUUGUUAGAGUUAGAGUUAGCAUGGCUGCAGAUGCUGUCUGCCCAAAUGCAGAAGCAAGAAAGGGCAAGAGGAUGCCUGGGAGAUAGGAGAGAAAAAGGUGUACAGGGCCUGUCCCGGGCAGUGCUGCCAACUAGUUACCACUUGGAGGGUCCUGUCCCUUUGCUGUCUCUCCUAUGUACCUCUCUGCCCAGGGACUUUGCUCGGCUUCAGCAGCUCAGUGCUCCAGUUGGAGCCACUUCUACCCCAGAAUUCCCAGCUGCUCCAAAGUUACUGCUCUCACAGUCCCCAUUUCCUAAGACACCAUUUCUGAAGGGCCUUUCUCCUAACAGUUGUAAGGAAAAACAUAGGCUAAAUUCCUGUGAAGCUGGUAGAAAAUGAUAACAGCUUUGUGCAUCUUCUCAUAAAUGUGGUAUUUUUAUAAAGUGGUUGCUUCCAAGUGUCAGUAUUUUAACUGUAAAAAUAAAUCACAAAUGGAGAAACUUUAAGCAGGGCUUCAAAUCACACUACAAAUUCAGCCUCAAACUUGGUUUUGUGUAUGGGGGACACCUGUGGGUUCUGUGCUGAAAAAGUGCUUGGAUAAAUUAAAGAAGGCUAAAGGUGUGUGGAAGGCAAGUGGCACAGUGUAGAGGAGAAUUUUUAAACGAUUCUAUCUGGAGAAUCCUGCUCUGGGAGGUAAUAAGCUCCUAAUCUUUGGAAGCCUGUAAGCAAAGCUGAGAAAGCUCCCUAAGUGAAAUAUUGUAGAGAGGACUCUACAUUAAGUACAUCAUUCAGGAUUGAUCCAGAGAGCCAAACCUACUUUACGUAGUCUAGACCGAGGAGAUUUAAUAUACUACAGAGAACUGAUGACAUUGGUCAAGGAGGCAAUCUGAAGAUUAGAUUGAAAAAGGAUCCAGUGCCCUUAGGGUUGCAGGGACAGGAGGGAAAGGUGUGUUUCAGGGCCUAGAGAAUGCAGGUUUUCUGGCCAGUGGUCACACUCAUGGGGCUGCCCAGAGGGAGCUGGGGCCAUGGAAAGAGGUGCUGCCUGGGCCUGGAGCCUCUGCUGGAGAUCUGCUAACCCCCAGGCAGGAAGAGGAGCACUGUGGCCUUUCCUUCUCUUCCCCCUCCCAGUGUCUAGCCAGUGCUCCUCAUGGGCUGCACCCACCUGCCAGUCUGUUAGCUUGGCUCCUGGGCAGUAGGCAGAGGCUCAGGGAGCCAUUUCCUUUCUGAUCUGAAUAGUGGGCAUUUGAACCAAAAAAACCUCUAAAUUUCUUUUCAAGUCUGACAAACAAAAGCAAAACACCUCUAUCAUUUAAAGAUGCCUCCGGUACAAGUAUCAGUCUAUUUCUAGAGAAAGAGAGCAUCAAACAUCUAGAAAAUAAGUCUACACCUUGCACCUUUUUGUUCGAGAGAAAAAUUAUUCUCUCACCAUCUGGUACCACAUAAUCUACACUUGGUGGAAUAUUCUUAUCAUGUACUGUGUCAGAAGCUAUUAUGUAAAGGUGGGACUUGUGGUGAUGAGUCCCUUUUGAGAAGCUGAACAUAAAUAGCUUAUUUGUUUGGACAAGUAUUAUGGUUAUUAAUAAAUAUUUCAAUAACACCAUAUACUGAACAUUGGGCUGAAAAGUAAACAAAAUUGUGCCAGAAGGAAAUAAAAGAACAAAUUCUCUGCUCUUCUUAUCUUCCUUGUUCCUGGUCUUAGAAUGGAAAGGUUUUGAUUGUUGAAUUUUUUAUUCUUAACUAAAAUAUCACUUUGCUCAUGUCUAGAGGUCUUGGAAACAGUGGUCACAAUGGCACACUUUAAAUGGCUUUGCCAGGCACUGUCAUGAUGGUUGUUCCUGGUGCCUGAGCACAGGCCCUUCCUUGGGUUACUUUGGGAUGAUAGUCGGGGGCACACGCAAGGUGUCUGUAGAUGCUCUUGUAUCAUUCUGACCUUUUAAGACACCGUGGCCCCUGCUUUCCUUCUCCCAGUCUUCAGAUGUUUUCCAGAAGCUGGGUGUCCAGAGCCUGUCCCUGUCAUGAAUGCAGUCAGCCCAGGUUGGCUUUGCUACAGCAGCUGGGUAGGACUUUCUUUAGGUCUGAUGAUCAGCUGGAUAUGAAAGCAGUUCCUGCCUUUAAAGUGGUGUCAGUGGGCAUAUUUUCAGAACUGGGGUGUGCUUUGCAGAGCUGCCAUGCAUCUGUUCAUGGCUAUCUUUGAAAAAAAGUGUGUUUUAACUCUGAAAGUCAUUGAGGGUGGGAGUAGGGUACUGAGGAAGCUGCCAAAUAUUCUGCUUCCUUGGCUCUGCAUGGUCAUCGGUUGGUUCAUCUCGUGGCCACACUCUCUAUUUGUCCCAUCUGCUUCUGGGACCCAGAAAUCAGAGUUGAGAGGGAAAGGUGUACAUGUGGAGGUAACUGAGUUUAAUUUGGUCAAUAAAAAGGAUUUCUUUCUAAUAUAACCAUACAACAUUUAACUUGAAUGGGCAUCAGGUGUGUUUUUCAUUAUUUCUUUAGAAAGACAGGCUUAUUGUUGAAAUGAAGUGAUCUCAAACUUAUAGGAUGCUAAGAUGCCCAGCAAACAAACAUUGGGUUUUGUCACCUCCCCUAAAAAUGCUGAAUUUAUUAUCUCGUAAUGUGCUGUCACUUGCUAGUGUAUUUCCUCCAUGUUUAGAUGUGAAGGAUGAAGUGGCAGAUGCAUCAUGUUCUCUCCCCCCUCCACCACCCCACUUGCCUUUUGAGAAGCUGAACAUAAAUAGCUUAUUUGUUUGGACAAGUAUUAUGGUUAUUAAUAAAUAUUUCAAUAACACCAUAUACUGAACAUCGGGCUGAAAAGUAAACAAAAUUGUGCCAGAAGGAAAUAUAAGAACAAAAUCUCUUCAGCCUAGGAACAGAGAACUUUCUUUUGUUUGCCACUGCCACCUGGUUUGCUGGACACCUUUUCCUGGAGCUCAGUUCACUCCUGGUACUUAAACAAGGAGUGCAGAUGUGCUCUGUGUCUGGGGAGGUGACAAGAUGCUGCCUAAGCUGAGGGGAAGGAAAGCUUAUAAUUACAGUUCAGAGUUCCUGUUUUAGAAAUACCAAUUCCUUCUAGUUCCACCACUGAGCAAAUAAUGUUGAUAGUAGCUCAUCACUUAUUAAAUAUUAACUCAGAUGAGGCAUUUCCAAUAAGUGACUUUCCUAUAACUAUCAUCAAAAUUGUCCUAAAAUAUGUUACCCAUGUACUUGCCUUUUUAAACAAAGGAUGUGGAACAUAUCUUAAUCUUUUCUAAAUAAUUUAUUGUAAUCAUUUUGGUUGUCAUUCAAUCCACUGGGUGCAUUUCAGGGUAGUGACCUCAAGGACUCUUUGCCACACGUUUUAAGUUACUUCAUCUACUUGCCAUAAGCAAUUCCUGCUUUCUUUGAGUAAAUAUUUAUUGAGCACUUCACCAUGUUUGAGGCAGUAUAAACACAAAGAUAUAUCCCAAAUGAAACCCACAAAGAUUUCUGCCCUUUGGCACUGCUGUGUGGCCAGGGAGGCAGGCACACCUACAAGGCCUUACAUUUAAUUCAGUGUGGCAGGUUGGACAGACAUUUAAUAGAGGGUCUCAUGUGGGGGAGAUGGGUUGGGUCAGAAAAGAUUGCUAGUUUUUGAAUACGGAUGCUGGUCCUGAAAUUCCCAUGUGUUAAACACUUGUUUCCUGGCAUGGCAAUAUUGGGAGGUACUAUGGACCUUUAAGAGAAGGGACCUAAUUGGGGUGUGGUGGCAUGUGGCUGUAAUUCUGUCACUCCGGGAGGCUGAGGCAGGAUGAUUGCAAGAGUGAGCACAGCCUGGUGACUUAGAGAGUUAAAAAAUAAAAAAGGUCGAGGAUAUAGUUCAUAUAAAAGCUUGAGUUCAAUUCCUAGUACUGCAAUUAAAAAGAGGAGGGGCAUUGUAGGAGGUCCCUACAUCACUGGGGUUGUGCACUGAAAGGGGGUUGUUGAACCUCAGUUGGUCAGUCUUUCUCUGUUUCUUGGCUCCUGAUGUGAGCAGCUUUCUCUGAUACAUGCUCCCUGCCAUUGCCAUCUGCUGCCCCAACGGAAGGCCUCUCCAAACUCGAAGAAGAACCUCCAGAACUGUAAGCUAAAUAACCCUUUUGUCUUUUAUAAAUUCAUCGAGCCAUUUCAUUGUAAUAACAGUGCUGACUAAUGCAAGAGUCAAUAUGUGGUUUGUUAUGGCUUUUGUCUUAGAUGUUCCCAAAGGCCCGUGUGUUGAAGGCUCAGACUCCAGUUGGUGGUAGAACCAUGAAAGGGUGGGGCCUGGUGGAAGAAAGCUCACUGGAGCCCACCCUUGAAGAGGAUAUUGGAACCCUGUCCCUUCCUUUUCUCUGUUUCCUGGAUGCCAUGAAGUGAGCAGUUUUCUCUGCCACAUGUUCCCCACCAUGAUGUUUUGCCAGGUCACAGGCCCCAAAGCAAUGGAGCCAUCUAACUAUGGACUAAAGUAAACUUUCCUCUUUUUAAGUUGUCUAUCUGAGCUAUUUGUCACAGUGAUGGAAAACUGAUGAGUAAGAGAUCCCAAGAAAGGACACCCCAGAAACUGAUUCCAGGAAUGCAAAGGUAGAUGGAUAUGGAAGUACUUUCCCUAAACCAGGAAGGCGUGGAGCAUCUGGAGUGGUGUCUGUGCAUGAGGUUCUGACAAAUGAGUCUGGAAGUGUGCCCUACCCCUAAGACUAAUUUUUCAUGUACCUUUGUGAUCAUUCUGCUUGCCUGCACCCCUCUUGUCCUUCUUGCUUUUUAUAGCCCCUCAUCUUUUGUUGGCUGUGCAACUAGAUAACCAAACUUAUCACAAUAAUAUUUCAAAGAACAAUCAGGUUCCAGGAAAGGCUUUCUCUAGGAACAAAGUGUAAGGGCUUUAGAUGUCUAUUUUGGCUUUCUACCCUUAUUUGCACAUUGGAUAAAUGAAAGACAGCAGAGCCGUGACAUCCAGAAGAACAUACAAUUGUUUCUCUUAAGGCCAAAUGGAGAUAUCAACAGUUAAAACAGAAUUCAUAUCCAUGAUGGAAGACAAAUGAAUCAGUGUUCGCAAAGCAUUUGGUGAGCUUUCUGUGAAUGAUGCUGUUGGAUGAAAGAACAUGGUUGUUUUUCUUGUGUGAUGGAUGGUGGAAACCUCUUUGAGAUAAAUCACAUCCGCUCCUAUCCACAUUGUUCCAGCUGCACCAACUCUGUACUUUGAUUCUUGGAUAACUCUCUGUUCAAUGUACAUUUAAGACCUUGAUAGAUAUCAAAAUAUCAGAGAAACUAUCAUAAAAAUAACCAACAUUAACAGAGCAGGAAGCAAGUACAACCUCCACUCUGUAAACUAGUAAGGGAUAUGAAAGAGAGAUAAUUGACACCAACACACAAACACAUACCCUGAUGAGACCUGGCCAUGGAGUUCAAAGGGAAAGUUACAGCCUGUGACAACGAGAAAGAACUUGGGCCUUGAAAUUGAAAUGCUUUGUGGAUAUACCCCACCCCUCAGUGCAUUGCAGUCAGCCUCUGAGGAGCCAUACUGUCAAGUUUAACUGACCUCAUCCCUGCUUCUCACUGCUGAAGCUUGGGAAUCCAGGUUCAAAUGAGGCUGAAUGUUUGGCUUCCAGGCAGGAACUGUCCUUUCUUCAGUUCCUCAGAAACAGAGCCCAGGUGCAGAUGUGCUUUGCACCAUACUCUCCUCCCACAGCCUCAGCCUUUCCUGAAGACCUCAGGUUCAUUGAUAGCUCUUGUCAGAAAGGAGGAGGGUGCUACUUGACUGAGAGCCAAGCAGGAGGCUCCACUGAGGCAGGCCAUGCUUCACAAUUGUUCUGAUAUUUUAUUGAGAGAACAAGCAUUUCAUUGAUACUUCUAUGUACAAAGCAUUGUGCUAGGUGCUAUUAAAGGAUUAAAAAUGAAAAGGUAUGGUUAUUUUUAAAGAGGAUUUUAUAUAUCUGUGAGCAAGAAUAUAUAUAAAUACAAAGAUUAGCAUAACCCAUGCACUCUGGUCACAUGAGAAUUGAAUUUAUUUACAAAGCUUGCUAGAAGGAUGUGUUCUUACUACUAACAGCAGAGAAGAUUCCAGCAGGGUGGACUUCAAGAGCAUGAGUCCCAUGCAGCUACCCAGGGCCCUGAACAUGGAAGGACCAUAGGCUUGGUCUAUUGCUAUGCUGUCACCAUCUUGAUUUCUUAAUCAUUUUUGAAUAGAGGCUCCACAUUUUUAUUUUGUAAUGGGCUCCAUGAAGUCUCUACUUGAAUCCAGGAGGGGGAGUGUUUGUAACAUGGCUUACCUUGGGACAUCAAAGUGGAGAAUGAAUGUAGUAAUAGAUUGGCUUGGCUGAGUUGAGAAACCUAUCUGUAAAACCUGUGGGAAAGAUCAGGUUCAGUUAGGGAAGACAGGGUCUCUAAUGAUGGUAUGGGUUUUCAGGGAGUUGCAAAGCAUAGCUAACAUUUCCUUUUUAUAUCAGUUAUGUAUUUUUGCACCUAACUUGUGUUAGCCUGUGAUUCUGCAAGCGACAAAUGUGGUGAGAAUAGUCUUGCCCCUUCCCUUUUGCCCCACACAGUGUGGGCACCGACUAUUCUGCCACUCCCACUCCUCCCCCAAUUGCACUUCAGUGUUGGGAACAGUGCUCCACAGAGCUAUCUUUGAGGGACAUUUAUGCCAAGUAUACUGGAAACUAUGUUGUCCAUUGUCACCAGUUCUUUACAAGGAGGAGUUGGGUAGAUUAAAAUUCACUCUAUUAAAUUUAUGAGGUGUGAGGAUCAAAUAUCCUACAUAAAAUUUAUGUUGUUUUAUGAUGUCUAAAUUAGGUUGAAAUCCAUCUGAUUAAAUUCCAAAUAAUCUGACUCCCCUAAAAUCUCCUCCAAGUUCACUCUCAGGUUGGCCUCUGGUCAUGGUUAAUAUUCAGGAGAGGUAAGAAAAGGGACUUCCCAUGCCCCAAGCUCAUGUAAUUAUUUUGGGUUAAGCAAAGGGGUGAAUGAAUUCAUUAAUAUAAACCACUGCUCAAGAGUUUCAUGCUGGGAGGAUUGCUGUUACCACUGAGGAACACAAAAUGUGAGCUGGAGACCCAAACUCCUUGGACCACCUAUAGGAACUUGGGCAUGCUCUUCUCUUGUCAGUUCCUUUCUCUUUCUGCUUCCUCUAUCAUAGUGAAAUGUUAUGAGGAUCAACUAUAAAUUGCAUAGUGUCCCAGUGAUCAAUUUAUUAUAUAAACCCACG
rnacentral:lncRNA from 1 species